rnacentral:rRNA from 1 species
UACGUAGAGGGCAAGCGUUGUCCGGAAUUAUUGGGCGUAAAGAGCGCGUAGGCGGUCCGAUAAGUCGGCUGUGAAAGUCAGGGGCUCAACCCUUGAAAGCCGGCCGAUACUGUCGGACUAGAGUCCGGAAGAGGCAAGUGGAAUUCCCGGUGUAGCGGUGAAAUGCGCAGAUAUCGGGAGGAACACCAAUGGCGAAGGCAGCUUGCUGGGACGGUACUGACGCUGAGGCGCGAAAGCGUGGGGAGCAAACAGG